UACGGAGGGUGCAAGCGUUAUCCGGAUUCACUGGGUUUAAAGGGUGCGUAGGCGGGCAGGUAAGUCAGUGGUGAAAUCCUUGAGCUUAACUCGAGAACUGCCAUUGAUACUAUCUGUCUUGAAUAUUGUGGAGGUAAGCGGAAUAUGUCAUGUAGCGGUGAAAUGCUUAGAUAUGACAUAGAACACCAAUUGCGAAGGCAGCUUACUACGGAUUGAUUGACACUGAGGCACGAAAGCGUGGGGAUCAAACAGG
rnacentral:rRNA from 1 species